rnacentral:rRNA from 1 species
UACGUAGGGGGCAAGCGUUGUCCGGAUUUAUUGGGCGUAAAGAGCGUGUAGGCGGUUCGGUAGGUCCGUUGUGAAAACUCGAGGCUCAACCUCGAGACGCCGAUGGAAACCCUCGAACUAGAGUCCGGAAGAGGAGAAUGGAAUUCCUGGUGUAGCGGUGAAAUUCGUAGAGAUUGGGAAGAACACCGGUGGCGAAGGCGGCCAACUGGACUGGUAUUGACGCUGAGGCGCGAAAGCGUGGGGAGCAAACAGG